ACCGGGCACGGUGGUGCAUGCCUGUAGUCCCAGCUACUUGGAAGGCUGAGGUGGGAGGAUCGCUUGAGCCCAGGAGUUCUGGUCUGUAGUGCGCUAUGCCAAUCGAGUGUCCACACUAAGUUUGGCAUCAAUAUGGUGACCUUUUGGGAGCGGGGAACCACCAGGUUGCCUAAGGAGGGGUGAACCAGCCCAGGUCGGAAACGGAGCAGGUCAAAACUCCCAUGCUGAUCAGUGGUGGGAUCCCGCCUGUGAAUAGCCACUGCACUCCAGCCUGGGCAACAUAGUAAGACCCCGUUUCU
rnacentral:SRP_RNA from 1 species